UUGGCCGCUAUGCAGCUGCAUUGUCUCUGAAAGUUCUAUGAUGACACCGUCGCCAUGGUGACUUGAGCCACACCUCUGCUGUCCUUUCCAGCUGGGACUCUUUGAGCUGACCCAUUCCUGAGGAGAGGUGUUUGCUCUGCUGCUCCAACUCAGAAUGGGAAAUUGCUGUGGUUCCUGCUGUGGUUCCUGCUGUGAUGGUGGAGGAACGGAGGCACAGAGAUGAAUGUGACCAGGUUCAUGAACUCCUCUAAGUAAAGGAGCCAGGAGGUGAACCCCGGCCUGCAGUCCAGUUCUCAUGCUCUAACUACUGAACCGAACUGCACUUAUGACUCAGCCAUGGGAUCAGUAGUUACUGUGCAAAGAAGCUUUAGCAUCUGCGUGGAUGGUGGCCCCAGCACCAUGUGGAAGUGAUGCCUUGGAGGAAGACAUUGAUCCCAUCAAAGGAGACAGCGCCGGAGGCACACCUCUCACCGAGGUGACCCCCGCAACCAGUGAGAGUGAUGUGACUGAUAAUGGCGCUGUCUUGUCGUGGAUUUUUCAGAGUGUUAUGGAGGAGGAGGGCCUGUCUCUUGCCAAGGUGAGCUCGCCU